AUCUAUGACCAUGUCACUCUGAAUGUGCCUGAUCCCUUCUGAUCUUGGAAGCUAAGCAGGGUCGGGCCUGGUUAGUAUUUGGAUGGGAGACCACCUAGGAAGACCAGAGGCUGUAGGUG
rnacentral:rRNA from 1 species